AACGAACGCUGGCGGCAGGCCUAACACAUGCAAGUCGAGCGAGGACUUCGGUCCUAGCGGCGGACGGGUGAGUAACGCGUGGGAACGUGCCCUUUGCUUCGGAAUAGCCCUGGGAAACUGGGAGUAAUACCGGAUGAGCCCUUUGGGGGAAAGAUUUAUCGGCGAAGGAUCGGCCGGCGUUGGAUUAGGUAGUUGGUGGGGUAAUGGCCUACCAAGCCGACGAUCCAUAGCUGGUUUGAGAGGAUGAUCAGCCACACUGGGACUGAGACACGGCCCAGACUCCUACGGGAGGGAGCAGUGGGGAAUCUUAGACAAUGGGGGAAACCCUGAUCGAGCCAUGCCGCGUGAGCGAUGAAGGCCUUAGGGUUGUAAAGCUCUUUCAGCUGGGAAGAUAAUGACGGUACCAGCAGAAGAAGCCCCGGCUAACUCCGUG
rnacentral:rRNA from 1 species